rnacentral:rRNA from 1 species
CCUGGCGGUCAUAGCGAGCGGGAACCACCCGAUCCCAUUCCGAACUCGGAAGUGAAAACGCUCUGCGCCGAUGGUAGUGUGGCCGUAGGCCAUGCCAGAGUAGGUCGCUGCCAGGG